rnacentral:rRNA from 1 species
CCUACGGGAGGCAGCAGUGAGGAAUAUUGGUCAAUGGCCGUAAGGCUGAACCAGCCAAGUAGCGUGAGUGAAGAAGUAUUUCGGUAUGUAAAGCUCUAUCAGCAGGGAAGAAGCAAGACGGUACCUGACUAAGAAGCCCCGGCUAACUACGUGCCAGCAGCCGCGGUAAUACGUAGGGGGCAAGCGUUAUCCGGAUUUACUGGGUGUAAAGGGAGCGUAGACGGUAUGGCAAGUCUGAAGUGAAAGCCCAGGGCUUAACCCUGGGACUGCUUUGGAAACUGUUAGACUAGAGUGCUGGAGAGGUAAGUGGAAUUCCUAGUGUAGCGGUGAAAUGCGUAGAUAUUAGGAGGAACACCAGUGGCGAAGGCGGCUUACUGGACAGUAACUGACGUUGAGGCUCGAAAGCGUGGGGAGCAAACAGGAUUAGAUACCCGGGUAGUC